CAGAGGAGAUGAGAGACAGAGGAAAAUGCCAGAUGGGGCUGGCAGUGGAGGCUACCAAAGGCACUACUACUUCCUGUGUAUCCAUCCGGCAUAAGCCGCUCCUGCUCCAUGCUGUUCCUGCAGGAAAGGAAAAAAGGGUUGCGCAACAAUUUUUCUACUUGGCAGCAUCUCCCCUCCUUUCAGCCCCCAUACCCCAAGCCCAUACCCGGC
rnacentral:lncRNA from 1 species